CCUACGGGGGGCAGCAGUGGGGAAUAUUCCACAAUGGGGGAAACCCUGAUGCAGCGACGCCGCGUGAGUGAAGAAGUAAUUCGUUAUGUAAAGCUCUAUCAGCAGAGAAGAAAAUGACGGUACCUGAGUAAGAAGCCCCGGCUAACUACGUGCCAGCAGCCGCGGUAAUACGUAGGGGGCAAGCGUUAUCCGGAUUUACUGGGUGUAGAGGGAGCGUAGACGGCAGUGCAAGUCUGGAGUGAAAGGGGGGGGCUCAACCCCCGGACGGCUCUGGAAACUGUACGGCUGGAGUGCAGGAGAGGUGAGUGGAAUUCCAAGUGUAGCGGUGAAAUGUGUAGAUAUUAGGAGGAACACCAGUGGCGAAGGCGGCUUACUGGACUGUAACUGACGUUGAGGCUCGAAAGCGUGGGGAGCAAACAGGAUUAGAUACCCCUGUAGUC
rnacentral:rRNA from 1 species